AUGUGUCAGUGUGUCUGUGUGUGUAUGUCAGUGUGUCUGUGUGUGUAUGUCAGUAUGUCUGUCAUAGACACACACAGACAUACUGACAUACAUACACAAACAGA